rnacentral:rRNA from 1 species
GAGAACGGGGGUAAUGUAAUGUCUGUAGGUAGGAGAGGAGAGGAGAGCAGAGUAGUGGUGCGAGGUUGGAGAGGGAGGAGGCGGGGGGCAGAAAGAGGGGACCAGAAACCGUCUAAAAGGAGGUGGGUAAGAGAGGGAGGGAGGAGGAGAGGUGGGCGUAGCUAGAGAGGCUUAAGACAGGGGGGUGGAUCGACGGUAGAGAGGGGGAGGUGGCUAACUAACCAAGAAGGAGGCAAAGAACCCGACUAAGAGGGAGAGGUAGACACAGAACCGAACUCUCCUAGCCGUCCUCUUUGUUCCACCUACGCUUGUUCACGAACCUAACACCGAGGCCGCUCGAGAACUUAUAGAGCCCUGGCGAAGGACGAUGCUCAGAGUGAACUUAGCGACCCUUUCUCCGCUCGUCGUAGACUGUACGAUAACGGCGUCUUGUUAGACAUCUUCCUGUGGGGAAAUGGGAAAGCUAUUACGUUCCCGUCUCCUUAAGGCAGCUUGUCGAUAGGCUGCAGAAGCCCAAACUGGUACCCAGACCAAGUCCGUUGGGGCAGUACCUGGUCGUCCGCAUGACCUUGUCGUACGAACCUCGCCGUCUCAGCGUCUUGGAGGGUCCAAUGCUCUACUUGGCGCCGCUGCCGCGGUAAGGCAUACCUUCGCUCCGCGUAGUCCUACCGGUCAAGAAUCCUAAGACCCCCAGGCCACUUCGAUCGAGCUCACCGUCACGCGACUUGAUACCCUCGAGGUUGCGCUAGUUCCGACUCGUAGACUUGUAACCACCACCAAACUCCUAGCCACUCUCCGCAGACCCACGACUCGUGUUGGAAAGAAACCUAUUACACCUGUAGUUGGAAUUGUGGUCACCGGUACUAGAGAAGCCAGUCUCAAGGUUACGCUUGUUGCGGAGAGUUCGGAGUGUCGUUGUACGACCCACGAGGGCAUGACUACGGUGGCGGGUCCGGUGACUCGAUUCUAACGUAGGAAUGGCUUGAAUGCCAAAUCUGCUGCUCGUCGGUCUCGGCAAGGGAAGAAACUUACGAAAGCUUGUAGGAAACCCCUUGAAAAGGGACUACGGUCUCCUGUAACUAGUUUCUGGUCCGUCAUCAAGGGACCUGCCGGCCGCAAAUCGCACGUUCUCCUUUUUAUAACUUCCUCACGUGCCCGUUAAAAGUCCUCCACGAUCGUGUUCGAAAAGGGUGUCUUUACUAUUACGGAAGGUAUCACAAGGAAGAAGUUCAAAGUUGGGUCGAGGACCGGGUUUACACAGGAGGGUAUUGAAGAACAAUCGAGGUUCAAGGUAACUCCUUGUUGAAGGCUUGAUACCUCGAUGAUGUUAUUACAGUAGACAAUCGAUGUUAGUAGGAUCGCCUCCGUUAUUGUCAAGUCCUUUAAGUGUCUCUUCAAAAGCCCGUUCCUGAUGGUGGCGAGUCGUCCAAUCGGGGAUACCACAUACCGGGGGAAGUCCAAGAUAGUCCGUAGGGCGAAGUAUAAUAGUGGUCGGCGGACGGAAAGUCUCGCGUAAACUACUUGAUCUCCGCCGAUACGGACACCAGUCACCUUAGUUGAACGUCAUGGUCGUAGGACCUUUGCAUCAGGGACCAUAAGGUGUUUGGCGUGUGGCAAAACGACCGGUACCUCGAAGUAGCAGCUCUCGUCCGUCGAACCUGUUGUAUUAAGAACCAUCUCUCCUUCAAUGACCCUCCUUAGAACAUCGAGGGCCGAAGGGAUCACGUCGGGGAGUACGACGUGAUCUGUACUCUGUAAACCACGGUCUUAACAGAUUAACCUUAAGACUGUUAGGACCACGAUGGUAGGGACCUUUACACAGAAGACAUAGUUCUCGAUUACGGUCAAGUUGCUAAUCAGCUGGUCGUCCGAGUUGUAGAGAGUGAGUAGUCUUGGAUGUAGCUGCCGUAGGAUCUUUAAAUAGUCUCCUUUAUCCAGCAGAUAGACCUCGUGAAACACCAGGCGUCGUGGGCGCGAAUUCCAGUCCCAAAGAUAACCUUGCAGUCCCACUACCACAAACCCCACAAGGUAAUGGUUACUCCUUAUGAUCCCUCCCUUCUUCUAAUUACCUCUAUGCCUUACGUGAUCUUUACUAAGUCUCUCCCCUCUUACAGUCUAAACUCAGAUAAAAGAUACCACCGCAGCUCUAAGUACUAUCUGUGUCCCUAUACGCAGAACUGUAUCUGUUAUACAGAAUACUCCUUGAUAAUCGUGACCUCCUUUCUUAUCCUUUACAAUUGUGACCCGAGUGGCUCUUACUACACUACUUCGAGGACUUCGUUUCCUUUAAGAGCAGUACCUCUAAUAGUAGACACCUUAUACUCGGUACAACAUAAACAGUCCUUCUCAUACACCUGCCACUGCUAGAGCCCUGCGAAGUGACGCCCGUACUGAAGGUACGGUCGACGUAGUCCGUUACCGAUCACCACUUCUUGGACACAGGCUAGACGUUUUCGUGGCGGGACUUCUGGAUUCUGUCGUCGUUCGGAGCAGCCUACAGGCAAGUUAGCUGGCGUUCUAGUAAAAUAACUAAGUAUUAUGGCGUUGAAAAACCGGUUUCCCAAAACGUAAGUGGAUUUCGAACUAUUUUUUUAAGGUUUUAAGGAACUUUUUUUCAAGGUCUUUUGACCAGUACCAAACUUUUGUUUUCUUACCAAGCUUUGACCAUAAUGGACAUUCGGCGACAGCACAGCGCCGUUUAUUAGGACCCUAGACACAGAUCAUGAGUAAACUGAUUUAUAAGUAGUACCUACGUACCGUAUUACCUACGAUCAAAUUUCUACUGUACAACCAUAGUGUAACAGCUAGAUGACAAAACAAUUCAACACG